rnacentral:rRNA from 1 species
GACGAACGCUGGCGGCGUGCUUAACACAUGCAAGUCGAACGGAAAGGCCCUGCUUUUGUGGGGUGCUCGAGUGGCGAACGGGUGAGUAACACGUGAGUAACCUGCCCUUGACUUUGGGAUAACUUCAGAAAACUGGGGCUAAUACCGGAUAGGAGCUCCUGCUGCAUGGUGGGGGUUGGAAAGUUUCGGCGGUUGGGGAUGGACUCGCGGCUUAUCAGCUUGUUGGUGGGGUAGUGGCUUACCAAGGCUUUGACGGGUAGCCGGCCUGAGAGGGUGACCGGCCACAUUGGGACUGAGAGACGGCCCAGACUCCUACGGGAGGCAGCAGUGGGGAAUAUUGCACAAUGGGCGGAAGCCUGAUGCAGCAACGCCGCGUGCGGGAUGACGGCCUUCGGGUUGUAAACCGCUUUCGCCUGUGACGAAGCGUGAGUGACGGUAAUGGGUAAAGAAGCACCGGCUAACUACGU